AGUGGCGGACGGGUGAGUAACACGUAGGUAACCUCCCCAGAAGCGGGGGACAACAUUUGGAAACAGAUGCUAAUACCGCAUAACAGCGUUGUUCGCAUGAACAACGCUUAAAAGAUGGCUUCUCGCUAUCACUUCUGGAUGGACCUGCGGUGCAUUAGCUUGUUGGUGGGGUAACGGCCUACCAAGGCGAUGGUGCAUAGCCGAGUUGAGAGACUGAUCGGCCACAAUGGGACUGAGACACGGCCCAUACUCCUACGGGAGGCAGCAGUAGGGAAUCUUCCACAAUGGGCGCAAGCCUGAUGGAGCAACACCGCGUGAGUGAAGAAGGGUUUCGGCUCGUAAAGCUCUGUUGUUAAAGAAGAACACGUAUGAGAGUAACUGUUCAUACGUUGACGGUAUUUAACCAGAAAGUCACGGCUAACUACGUGCCAGCAGCCGCGGUAAUACGUAGGUGGCAAGCGUUAUCCGGAUUUAUUGGGCGUAAAGAGAGUGCAGGCGGUUUUCUAAGUCUGAUGUGAAAGCCUUCGGCUUAACCGGAGAAGUGCAUCGGAAACUGGAUAACUUGAGUGCAGAAGAGGGUAGUGGAACUCCAUGUGUAGCGGUGGAAUGCGUAGAUAUAUGGAAGAACACCAGUGGCGAAGGCGGCUACCUGGGUCUGCAACUGACGCUGAGACUCGAAAAGCA
rnacentral:rRNA from 1 species